GAUCCUGGCUCAGGACGAACGCUGGCGGCGUGCUUAACACAUGCAAGUCGAACGUGAUUUUUAUGGAAGAACCUUCGGGGACGGAAGUAAAAUGAAAGUGGCGAACGGGUGAGUAACACGUGAGCAAACCCUACCUUACACAGGGGGAUAGCCCGUUGGAAACGACGAUUAAUACCCGCAUGAGACCACAAUACUGCAUGGUAAAGGGGUCAAAGAUUUAUCGGUGUAAGAUGGGCUCGCGUCUGAUUAGCUAGUUGGAAAGGG
rnacentral:rRNA from 1 species